UGCAAGCAUUUAAAUGACUAAACUUAAUUAUUGAAUUUAUUUUACAAACAAACUGUUAAAUUCAAUAUUACAUAGCCUGAAAAAGUUAAAUGAUAAAAGGAAAAGACUUUUCAUGUCUCAUCCUGUAAGUCCAAAAAAGUGAAAAAAAGAAAUUUCAUGGUUCUCCUAAAACUGUAAGUUUCAUGGUUUUCAGAAGGAUGAGUAAAUCAU
rnacentral:lncRNA from 1 species